CCUACGGGAGACAGCAGUGAGGAAUAUUGGUCAAUGGGCGCGAGCCUGAACCAGCCAAGUAGCGUGAAGGAUGACUGCCCUAUGGGUUGUAAACUUCUUUUAUAAAGGAAUAAAGUGAGGCACGUGUGCCUUUUUGUAUGUACCUUAUGAAUAAGGAUCGGCUAACUCCGUGCCAGCAGCCGCGGUAAUACGGAGGAUGCGAGCGUUAUCCGGAUUUAUUGGGUUUAAGGGGUGCGAGGGCGGAAUGUCAAGUCAGCGGUAAAAUUUCGGGGCUCAACCCCGGCGUGCCGUUGAAACUGGCAUUCUUGAGUGAGCGAGAGGUAUGCGGAAUGCGUGGUGUAGCGGUGAAAUGCAUAGAUAUCACGCAGAACUCCGAUUGCGAAGGCAGCAUACCGGCGCUCAACUGACGCUGAGGCACGAAAGCGUGGGUAUCGAACAGGAUUAGAUACCCUUGUAGUC
rnacentral:rRNA from 1 species